GACGAACGCUGGCGGCGUGCCUAAUACAUGCAAGUAGAACGCUGAAGGAGGAGCUUGCUCUUCUGGAUGAGUUGCGAACGGGUGAGUAACGCGUAGGUAACCUGCCUGGUAGCGGGGGAUAACUAUUGGAAACGAUAGCUAAUACCGCAUAAGAGUAGAUGUUGCAUGACAUUUGCUUAAAAGGUGCACUUGCAUCACUACCAGAUGGACCUGCGUUGUAUUAGCUAGUUGGUGGGGUAACGGCUCACCAAGGCGACGAUACAUAGCCGACCUGAGAGGGUGAUCGGCCACACUGGGACUGAGACACGGCCCAGACUCCUACGGGAGGCAGCAGUAGGGAAUCUUCUGCAAUGGACGGAAGUCUGACCGAGCAACGCCGCGUGAGUGAAGAAGGUUUUCGGAUCGUAAAGCUCUGUUGUAAGAGAAGAACGAGUGUGAGAGUGGAAAGUUCACACUGUGACGGUAUCUUACCAGAAAGGGACGGCUAACUACGUG
rnacentral:rRNA from 1 species